rnacentral:misc_RNA from 1 species
UGUUUAUCGACUUCAUCGUAAUGAUAUGCUGUCCUACGAGGCACAAGACGAACUGGAGAUAGUGAGUCCAGAUGGUGUUCUUGCAGAACACUCUCCUGAUGAUCCGUUAAGUGUUAUGAUGUUAUCUCUUGUGAGAAGAUUUACAGGCUAUCUGCAUGGUCUGUUCCUGCCGCUGUCCUGAUCAAUGAAACCAAGUGGAUCUGAUGCUGUUUGCUGCUGUCAUCCCAGUGGAUUGAAUGUCAUGACUUCUUGCAGCCCUGUUCCAGCCUCCGACCACCUUGUGGAGUCCCACGGCUUAGAAUCCUGCCUUAUCUCUACCCUGAUCUAUUCCUGCUUCCUCUUGUACACUGCAUAGAUGCAAGCUCGCAUGCUGAUAAUGGACCUCGGAACCUGAGUACCUGCAACCCUAUGACCCACUGAAUGUGACGCCCAAAGGAUUUCACACCAGAUUCCAGCCUCAUUUUUGGUGAAAGGGUGUCGGCUUUCGCUUUGAGCCGAUAGUCAGUCGAGGGUUCCCAAGUCACCCUCUCCUUUUCCGGGAUCGGGAGGGAUGUAGUGAGGCAGCCAUACGUCUUUUUCCACGGGACUUUCAACCCUAUUUUCGCCUUAACCUGCGUCGCAUCUUAAAGGAGCUACAAACCAGCAAACAACCCAUCGUCUUGGAAGACCAUCGGCCAGGACUUCUACCUUCCCGCGCUAAAUUUACGUCAGAGUAAUUGUUGAGCUUCUCAGGUAGUUGGCUGAGAGCUCGUGACCUGUACACACCAUUCAUAAGUAUCUGGCUGUUGUUGUUCCUUAUUUUUAUUACUGAUGCUCGUUUUUUUUUUCGUUUAUAUCAUUUUGUUUAAUUUAAUAAAUGUGUUUUUUUCUGUCCAUUGAGUAUUUAUUCAAUUCUUACACGCUACCUAAAUUAUAAGAAUUGCUCGGCUUGAGGGCUGUGUAAAAGCCAACGCUUACAAGGGCCAGGCGGCUGUUGGUUGGGCCGGUUCUUACCGCCCAACACCGUGCAGCCCGACUGGGCUUCAGCAGGGACCAC